CAAGUCGAGCGAGAAGGAGCAAUCCCCGGUAAAGCGGCGCACGGGUGAGUAACACGUAGGUAAUCUGCCUCUGAGUGGGGGAUAACCUUCCGAAAGGAGGGCUAAUACCGCAUGAGACCACGCCUUCGAGAGGAGGAGGGGUCAAAGCCGGCCACUAUACAUAAGCUGGCGCUUGGAGAUGAGCCUGCGGCCCAUCAGCUAGUUGGUAGGGUAAUGGCCUACCAAGGCGUAGACGGGUAGCUGGUCUGAGAGGAUGAUCAGCCACACUGGAACUGAGACACGGUCCAGACUCCUACGGGAGGCAGCAGUGGGGAAUCUUGCGCAAUGGGCGAAAGCCUGACGCAGCGACGCCGCGUGAGUGAUGAAGGCCUUCGGGUUGUAAAGCUCUGUGGAGGGGGAAGAAUAAGGGUGACCCAACACGUCGCCCGAUGACGGUACCCCUUUAGCAAGCACCGGCUAACUCUGUGCCAGCAGCCGCGGUAAGACAGAGGGUGCAAACGUUGUUCGGAAUUACUGGG
rnacentral:rRNA from 1 species